rnacentral:rRNA from 1 species
UUAAAUGUAAUUAAUUUAUUUUAUUAUUAUAAGUUAUGGUCUUUAAAAUUAAAAAAUUUGGCGGUAUUUUAGUCUUUUUAGAGGAACCUGUUUUAUAAAUGAUAGUCCACGAUUUUAUGUAUUUUUAUUAUUAAUUUGUAUAUCGUCGUUAUUAAAUAUUUUUUUAGAAUUUAAUAUUUUAAAUUUUUUUAAAAAAGUUUAUCAGAUCAAGGUGCAGUUUAUAUAAAAAUAAAAAUGGGUUACAAUAAAUUUAUUUUUAGAAUUUUAAUUUUAUAUUGAAAUGAAAUUGGAUUUAAAUGUAAUAUUAAUUUAUUAAUUAAUAUGAUUUUAGCUCUAAAAUAUGU